UGGAGGAUUAAGGCCCUCUGGGUUGUAAACUCCUUUUAUCUGGGAAGAAAUGCAUUUUUUCUAAAGUGCUUGACGGUACCAGAGGAAUAAGCACCGGCUAACUCCGUGCCAGCAGCCGCGGUAAUACGGAGGGUGCAAGCGUUAUCCGGAUUCACUGGGUUUAAAGGGUGCGUAGGCGGGCAGGUAAGUCCGUGGUGAAAUCUCUGAGCUUAACUCAGAAACUGCCAUGGAUACUAUUUGUCUUGAAUGUUGUGGAGGUAAGCGGAAUAUGUCAUGUAGCGGUGAAAUGCUUAGAUAUGACAUAGAACACCAAUUGCGAAGGCAGCUUACUACACAAAUAUUGACGCUGAGGCACGAAAGCGUGGGGAUCAAACAGGAUUAGAUACCCUGGUAGUCCACGCCCUAAACGAUGAUUACUCGACAUCAGCGAUACACUGUUGGUGUCUGAGCGAAAGCAUUAAGUAAUCCACCUGGGAAGUACGAUCGCAAGAUUGAAACUCAAAG
rnacentral:rRNA from 1 species